rnacentral:lncRNA from 1 species
UUCAACCCCUCACUACUUAAUCCACCCCCAGGUGCCAGCAAACAUCCCGAGCAGAGUUAGGCAAGGACUAUCCAUCACCAUGCUGGAAGUCUCAGAGUGGGCUUGGCAAUACCUGGGCCCUACAAAAAGAGCUAUGAAGGCAUUAGGACCAAAAAAAUCAUCUUAUUUGCUUAUUGAUUUCCAAUAAAAUCUAAUAAUUAGAAAAACAGUCCUGCUGACUUGUGUGUGCCGUGCGUACAAAGGAAGGAGGCAAAAUCCCUCAGGGGGUGACAGUGCUUCCACAGCAGCCCUGCAGUCCCUCAGGGCUGGCAGACAAGUGUCCCUGCAGUGGCAUUAGCCUGUGUCCCCCGGGAGAGAGCAGAGAGCAUCAGUGCCAGGAGCCUGGGGCAUCCCUGGGGCUGGGGAAGGGAUCCUGUGGGGUGGGGACUGGCACAGACGGACUGGCACAGACAGGAGUGUCACAGGAGUGUCACAGACAGGAUGUCACAGACAGGGCUGGCACAGACAGGAUGUCACAGACAGGAGUGUCACAGACAGGAGUGUCACAGACAGGAUGUCACAGACAGGGCUGGCACAGACAGGAUGUCACAGACAGGAGUGUCACAGACAGGAGUGUCACAGACAGGAUGUCACAGACAGGGCUGGCACAGACAGG